rnacentral:rRNA from 1 species
UACGUAGGGUGCGAGCGUUGUCCGGAUUUAUUGGGCGUAAAGAGCUCGUAGGCGGUCUGUCGCGUCGGAUGUGAAAACCCAGGGCUCAACCCUGGGCCUGCAUUCGAUACGGGCAGACUAGAGUACGGCAGGGGAGACUGGAAUUCCUGGUGUAGCGGUGAAAUGCGCAGAUAUCAGGAGGAACACCGGUGGCGAAGGCGGGUCUCUGGGCCGAAACUGACGCUGAGGAGCGAAAGCGUGGGGAGCGAGCAGG